rnacentral:piRNA from 1 species
UGUAGAUGGUGCGGACUUCUCCUC